rnacentral:rRNA from 1 species
CAGUCGCCACGGGAAUACGUAGGGUGCAAGCGUUAAUCGGAAUUACUGGGCGUAAAGCGUGCGUAGGCGGCUUCUUAAGUCGGAUGUGAAAUCCCUGAGCUUAACUUAGGAAUUGCAUUCGAUACUGGGAAGCUAGAGUAUGGGAGAGGAUGGUAGAAUUCCAGGUGUAGCGGUGAAAUGCGUAGAGAUCUGGAGGAAUACCGAUGGCGAAGGCAGCCAUCUGGCCUAAUACUGACGCUGAGGUACGAAAGCAUGGGGAGCAAACAGGAUUAGAUACCCCCGUAGUCCCUGUCUCUUAUAC